rnacentral:rRNA from 1 species
CCUACGGGUGGCAGCAGUAGGGAAUCUUCCACAAUGGGCGCAAGCCUGACGGAGCAACGCCGCGUGGGUGAAGAAGGUCUUCGGAUCGUAAAACUCUGUUGUUAGAGAAGAAAGGGCGUGAGAGUAACUGUUCACGUCUCGACGGUAUCUAACCAGAAAGCCACGGCUAACUACGUGCCAGCAGCCGCGGUAAUACGUAGGUGGCAAGCGUUGUCCGGAUUUAUUGGGCGUAAAGCGAACGCAGGCGGUCUGUUAAGUCAGAUGUGAAAGCCUUCGGCUUAACCGGGGAAGUGCAUUGGAAACUGGGAGACUUGAGUGCAGAAGAGGAGAGUGGAAGUCCAGGUGUAGCGGUGAAAUGCGUAGAUAUAUGGAAGAACACCAGUGGCGAAGGCGACUCUCUGGUCUGUAACUGACGCUGAGGUUCGAAAGCGUGGGUAGCAAACAGGAUUAGAUACCCGUGUAGUC